ACUUUUGCAUUAAGAACCAAAAAUAUCAUCUAUUUUCAAGAGAGAUUUGCAAAACUAUCCUUUUUUUACUAUCUUUUUGCAAUAAUGCCCUUUUAUAUUGUUUAUUUUUAAAAAUAUCUCUUCCCUUGAACAGAAUGACCAAAUUACCCUCAUUUAAUAAGAACAUGUACUUGGAAACUUUCAGUUUCCCGCCAAAUUUUUGGCGCCAAAAAAAAAAAUUUCCGUCCCGCCAAAAAAAAAAAAAUUCCGCCAAACAUUUUUUCCCGCCAAAAUUUUUUCUCGUAAUUUUUUUUUCCCAGCCAAAAAAUGCUUUUAAAAAUCCUUGUAAAUUUUUUUAAAACUCUUUUAAAAAACCUUG
rnacentral:sRNA from 1 species